GCAGCCGCCAUGAGGCGUCCCCUCAGCUCCUCUGCUCCGGGCCCAACAAAUCGUGUUGAGUCCGCCAGCUCUGGUAUCCAACCUGACCCUCCCCUGGUCUCAAAUUCACGUUUGUUUCCCAGUUGGUUCAGCAGAAUCAUAACUUCUGCUUUACAUAAGUGUAUUACCUUGAAAGUGUCACGCAACAUAACCAUGCUUUGCUUAUCUCAGUUCUGCAAUAUUUUAUUUAAUCCGAUCCCUUUGCCAGAUCAGAGGUGCUAAAGCUUUCACGUCACCCCCAGAUAUGAAUUUUCUCCAAAGACAGCAAGGUGCUGAAAUUGACUGCUGAGACCUUUACAUUUCAAGAGUAAAGCCUCAGUCCUUUUAACUUCAUGUUUAUAUUCCUCAACAUGGAAUCUAAUGCCUUUUAUAUGAAGUGACACAGCCAAGAAACUCCAAGGGGCAGAAAGACCAAGUGAUGGCGGAAGGAACAGCACACAGCCCGGGAGCAACGUGAAAAAUGUAACGUGAAAAUGUGCCCCAGGAUCCGCCCCAUCUCAGCGAAGCGCGUUCUGAGCGAUUCGGGACGAGGAGGAUCCGUCUGCAGUACGCACUCACUCAUACAUUGGAAAAAAAUGCGCUGUCCUUUAAAGGAAGGGUGAAAAAAGGGAAGUUUUAUGAGCAUCAAACUUUUUUGAACCUAUGUUGUGCUGCAAACGCUGUGGGAUGGGACGUCCUGCAGUACCGUACGUAUAAAUGUGCUUAUGGAGCAUCUUAUGUCUGCGUAAGUGUGUUUAUGGAGCAUGAGGAAAGAAGGUGGAUGGGUGGCAGAAGGGGUAAAGGAAA